rnacentral:sRNA from 1 species
GACUGGCAUGGUAGUGCAUGCCUGCAAUCCCAGCUACUCUGGAGGCUGAAGCAGGAGGAUCAAGAGUUUGAGGCUAGCUCAGGCAACACAGUGAGACCUGUUUCGA